rnacentral:rRNA from 1 species
AUUGAACGCUGGCGGCAUGCCUUACACAUGCAAGUCGAACGGCAGCACGGGAGCAAUCCUGGUGGCGAGUGGCGAACGGGUGAGUAAUAUAUCGGAACGUACCCUAGAGUGGGGAUAACGCAGCGAAAGUUGCGCUAAUACCGCAUACGAUCUACGGAUGAAAGCGGGGGAUCGCAAGACCUCGCGCGAUUGGAGCGGCCGAUAUCAGAUUAGGUAGUUGGUGAGGUAAAGGCUCACCAAGCCGACGAUCUGUAGCUGGUCUGAGAGGACGACCAGCCACACUGGGACUGAGACACGGCCCAGACUCCUACGGGAGGCAGCAGUGGGGAAUUUUGGACAAUGGGCGCAAGCCCGAUCCAGCAAUGCCGCGUGCAGGAUGAAGGCC